GUGAAUCAUCAAAUCUUUGAACGCAAAUUGCACUCUCUGGUAUUCCGGAGAGUAUGUCUGUUUGAGGGUCAGGUUAAAUCAAAAUCGGUGUGGUUGCUGCCUUUCGUGGUGACGUACCGGAUUUGGGUCGUCUGGCCUUCGGUUAGGUGACCUAAAAUUUGGCAUGAUUUUUGUCGAAUGUAUUUAAAUGAUUUUACGUAGGUUUGCGAUAUCGAAUACUAGUUGUGUUCAGCUUCAUGAUUCGCGCCCAUACUUUUU
rnacentral:misc_RNA from 1 species